UGGGGAAUAUUGCACAAUGGAGGGAACUCUGAUGCAGCGACGCCGCGUGAACGAAGAAGGCUUUCGAGUCGUAAAGUUCUUUUAUAUGGGAAGAUAAUGACGGUACCAUAAGAAAAAGCCCCGGCUAACUACGUGCCAGCAGCCGCGGUAAUACGUAGGGGGCUAGCGUUGUCCGGAAUCACUGGGCGUAAAGGGUUCGCAGGCGGAAAUGCAAGUCAGGUGUAAAAGGCAGUAGCUUAACUGCUGUAAGCAUUUGAAACUGCAUAUCUUGAGAAGAGUAGAGGUAAGUGGAAUUUUUAGUGUAGCGGUGAAAUGCGUAGAUAUUAAAAAGAAUACCGGUGGCGAAGGCGACUUACUGGGCUCAUUCAGACGCUGAGGAACGAAAGCGUGGGUAGCAAACAGG
rnacentral:rRNA from 1 species